rnacentral:rRNA from 2 species
GAAGGUGUGUCGUGAGGCAUGCUGGAGGUAUCAGAAGUGCGAAUGCUGACAUAAGUAACGAUAAAGCGGGUGAAAAGCCCGCUCGCCGGAAGACCAAGGGUUCCUGUCCAACGUUAAUCGGGGCAGGGUGAGUCGACCCCUAAGGCGAGGCCGAAAGGCGUAGUCGAUGGGAAACGGGUUAAUAUUCCCGUACUUGGUGUUACUGCGAAGGGGGGACGGAGAAGGCUAUGUUGGCCGGGCGACGGUUGUCCCGGUUUAAGUGUGUAGGUGUGUGUUCCAGGUAAAUCCGGUUCACUUUAACACUGAGGCGUGACGACGAGGCACUACGGUGCUGAAGCAACAAAUGCCCUGCUUCCAGGAAAAGCCUCUAAGCAUCAGGUAACAUCAAAUCGUACCCCAAACCGACACAGGUGGUCAGGUAGAGAAUACCAAGGCGCUUGAGAGAACUCGGGUGAAGGAACUAGGCAAAAUGGUGCCGUAACUUCGGGAGAAGGCACGCUGACACGUAGGUGAAGUGAUUUACUCAUGGAGCUGAAGUCAGUCGAAGAUACCAGCUGGCUGCAACUGUUUAUUAAAAACACAGCACUGUGCAAACACGAAAGUGGACGUAUACGGUGUGACGCCUGCCCGGUGCCGGAAGGUUAAUUGAUGGGGUCAGCGCAAGCGAAGCUCCUGAUCGAAGCCCCGGUAAACGGCGGCCGUAACUAUAACGGUCCUAAGGUAGCGAAAUUCCUUGUCGGGUAAGUUCCGACCUGCACGAAUGGCGUAAUGAUGGCCAGGCUGUCUCCACCCGAGACUCAGUGAAAUUGAACUCGCUGUGAAGAUGCAGUGUACCCGCGGCAAGACGGAAAGACCCCGUGAACCUUUACUAUAGCUUGACACUGAACAUUGAGCCUUGAUGUGUAGGAUAGGUGGGAGGCUUUGAAGUGUGGACGCCAGUCUGCAUGGAGCCGACCUUGAAAUACCACCCUUUAAUGUUUGAUGUUCUAACGUGGACCCGUUACCCGGGUUGCGGACAGUGUCUGGUGGGUAGUUUGACUGGGGCGGUCUCCUCC